GCCUCCCCAAAAGGCAUCCACCAGGCGAUCCACGGCCUCCAUGGCCAGAUCUCAGGCUCCAGCCUUGCCUCCAAUUUCUCAAGCUCCUCCUCCUCCUCCGAUAAUGACGGUCAGCUUGGAGCAGUUUGACCUGCUAGUUCAACAGGUCAGAGGUCUCACCGAAGCAGUGCAGGCCAUGCAGCAGCAGCAGCAAUAGCCGCAGGCAUCAGUGCGAUUGGUAAGAGCAUUGUCAGAGUUCCAAAAUCUGGUAGUAGGGCAGACCACUUGGGCUAGUUGCCCUGUCUUCCCCGAAAAGGAGAAUCCAAGGGUGGAGAGCCCUCGAUCUGAUCAUGAUUCCACUCUCGAAGGAUCCCUACCUUCAUUCUACCAGAAGACCCUCGAGACUCGCAACCGAGAGGACCUCCUGGAUCAAAGGCUCCAGGAGAUGAACCGACA
rnacentral:lncRNA from 1 species